rnacentral:rRNA from 3 species
CAGACCUCUGAUCAGGGAAGACUACCCGCUGAGUUUAA